AUGAACAACAUGUGAAAGCAUGCGACUCUUCGGAGGCGUUACACAGGUGCUGCAUGGCCGUCGUCAGCUCGUGUCGUGAGAUGUUUGGUUAAGUCCAGCAACGAGCGCAACCCCUGUUGCCAGUUACCAGCACGUGAAGGUGGGGACUCUGGCGAGACUGCCCAGAUCAACUGGGAGGAAGGUGGGGACGACGUCAGGUCAGUAUGGCCCUUAUGCCCAGGGCUGCACACGUACUACAAUGCCCAGUACAGAGGGGGCCGAAGCCGCGAGGCGGAGGAAAUCCUAAAAACUGGGCCCAGUUCGGACUGUAGGCUGCAACCCGCCUACACGAAGCCGGAAUCGCUAGUAAUGGCGCAUCAGCUACGGCGCCG
rnacentral:rRNA from 1 species